rnacentral:rRNA from 1 species
AGAUUAAGUUAUUAAGGGCGCACGGUGGAUGCCUUGGCACUAGAAGCCGAUGAAGGACGUUACUAACGACGAUAUGCUUUGGGGAGCUGUAAGUAAGCUGUGAUCCAGAGAUUUCCGAAUGGGGGAACCCAGCACGAGUUAUGUCGUGUUAUCCGCAUGUGAAUACAUAGCAUGUGAGAAGGUAGACCCGGAGAACUGAAACAUCUUAGUACCCGGAGGAAGAGAAAGAAAAAUCGAUUCCCU